GUACUUCAGCAGAGCAUAUACCGAAACUGGAAUGAUACAGAAAAGGUCAGCAUGGUCCAUUAACAAAGAUGACAGACAAAUCUGUGAAGUGUUCCAUAUUUUU